rnacentral:rRNA from 1 species
GCUCAAGAAACGUUAAAGGACGUUCGGACGGGGGCCCGCACAAGCGGUGGAGCAUGUAGGUUUAAUUCGACGCAACGCGCAACGUAACCUUACCGUGGGCUUAGAAAUCUGGUGGAAUCUGUAUGAAAGUAUGGGGGUGCCCUUCGGGGAGCCGCAAGACAGGUGCUGCAUGGCUGUCGUCAGCUCGUGUCGUGAGAUGUUGGGUUAAGUCCCGCAACGAGCGCAACCCUUGUCUUCAGUUGCCAGCACGUAAAGGUGGGAACUCUGAAGAUACUGCCCCGGUUAACGGGAGGAAGGUGGGGAUGACGUCAAGUCCUCAUGGCCCUUAUGCCCAGGGCUACACACGUGCUACAAUGGCAUAUACAAAGGGUCGCGAUACCGCGAGGUGGAGCCAAUCCCAUAAAGUAUGCCACAGUUCGGAUUGGAGUCUGCAACUCGACUCCAUGAAGUUGGAAUCGCUAGUAAUCGCAGAUCAGCUACGUUGCGGUGAAUACGUUCCCGGGCCUU